UUGUAUUUUCGAGCUAUCGCGGGGAGACGCGAUCGUUAGAAUACGCGUCAACGGGAGUCGUAAAUUCCCCUUUAGGCGCUCUAGGCCUUUGAGAGUUAUAGGAACUGUCGGAGUUCUGGAUAAGUGAGAGCCUUAGAAGACUCUAGGCCGUGUAGGCACCUUGAGAAAUGAUGAAGGAACUCAGAAAGAUACAGGAACGGUGAG
rnacentral:misc_RNA from 1 species